rnacentral:rRNA from 1 species
UACGUAGGGGGCAAGCGUUGUCCGGAAUCAUUGGGCGUAAAGAGCGUGUAGGCGGCCCGGUAAGUCCGCUGUGAAAGUCCAGGCUCAACCCUGGGAUGCCGGUGGAUACUGUCGGGCUCGAGUCCGGAAGAGGAGUGUGGAAUUCCGUGGUGUAGCGGUGAAAUGCGCAGAUAUCAGGAGGAACACCAAUGGCGAAGGCAGCACUCUGGGAUACAC